rnacentral:ncRNA from 1 species
UGGUGCAUGGCCGUUCUUAGUUGGUGGAGUGAUUUGUCUGGUUGAUUACGAUAACGAACGAGACUCCGGUGUGCUAACUAGUUACCCGGCCCCACGCGGUCGGCGUCCAACUUCUUAGAGGGACUAGUGGCGUUCAGCCACACGAGAUGGAGAUUGGUCUCGCUAUAGC